rnacentral:rRNA from 1 species
UCAUGCCGCGUGAGUGAAGAAGGCCUUCGGGUUGUAAAGCUCUUUUGUCAGGGAAGAAACACCGGCUCUAACACAGUCCGGGAAUGACGGUACCUGAAGAAUAAGCACCGGCUAACUACGUGCCAGCAGCCGCGGUAAUACGUAGGGUGCGAGCGUUAAUCGGAAUUACUGGGCGUAAAGCGUGCGCAGGCGGUUAUACAAGACAGGCGUGAAAUCCCCGGGCUUAACCUGGGAAUGGCGCCUGUGACUGUAUAGCUAGAGUGUGUCAGAGGGGGGUAGAAUUCCACGUGUAGCAGUGAAAUGCGUAGAUAUGUGGAGGAAUACCAAUGGCGAAGGCAGACCCCUGGGAUAACACUGACGCUCAUGCACGAAAGCGUGGGGAGCAAACAGGAUUAGAUACCCUGGUAGUCCACGCCCUAAACGAUGUCUACUAGUAGUUGGGAGAGUAAAAUCUUUUAGUAACGAAGCUAACGCGAGAAGUAGACCGCCUGAGGAGUACGGUCGCAAGAUUAAAACUCAAAGGAAUUGACGGGGGC